GCUCCAUUAGCUCAGAUGGGAGAGCACUCGACUUUUAAUCAAGUGGACAUGGGUCCGAGUCCCAUAUGGAGAA
rnacentral:tRNA from 2 species